UACAGAGGGUGCGAGCGUUAAUCGGAAUUACUGGGCGUAAAGCGUGCGUAGACGGUUAUCUAAGUCGGAUGUGAAAGCCCCGGGCUCAACCUGGGAAUUGCAUUCGAGACUGGAUAGCUAGGGUGCGGUAGAGGGAAGCGGAAUUUCCGGUGUAGCGGUGAAAUGCGCAGAUAUCAGGAGGAACACCGGUGGCGAAGGCAGCCCCCCUGGGGUAACACUGACGCUCAUGCCACGAAAGCGUGGGGAGCAAACAGG
rnacentral:rRNA from 1 species